rnacentral:lncRNA from 1 species
UGACUUCAGGGGUUAAUCAUAACAUAACUUGGUCUGAAACCAACAG